UACGUAGGCAGCAAGCGUUGUUCGGAGUUACUGGGCGUAAAGAGUGCGUAGGUGGUGCCCUAAGUCUGUUGUGAAAUCUCCCGGCUUAACUGGGAGGGUGCGGUGGAAACUGGGGUGCUUGAGUGUGGGAGAGGUAAGCGGAAUUCCUGGUGUAGCGGUGAAAUGCGUAGAUAUCAGGAGGAACACCGGUGGUGUAGACGGCUUACUGGACCGCAACUGACGCUGAGACACGAAAGCGUGGGUAGCAAACAGG
rnacentral:rRNA from 1 species